UCGAUUAUGGAGGGCUCCACCAUGCCCUAACUAUGACCAUGCUAAAGCAAACUUGAGAAACGAAGGACUUUAGUAUUGUAUACAGGCGGAACGAUUGGAAUGAAGAAAACAGAUGGAGGAUAUCAGCGGAAAUCUGGUCACCUUCAGUCGCAAAUAAAGCGACUUCCUUUGUUGUAUGAUGUUGAAUAUGCAAAGAUUGAACCCAAAGAAAGUGUUACGUCUUUCAGCUGUGACAACACUGCUGGUACUUCCGCGCUGGAAGAGUUAGCCAAGCC